rnacentral:rRNA from 1 species
GUGGGGAAUAUUGGACAAUGGGGGGAACCCUGAUCCAGCCAUGCCGCGUGUGUGAAGAAGGCCUUUUGGUUGUAAAGCACUUUAAGCGAGGAGGAGGCUACCGAGAUUAAUACUCUUGGAUAGUGGACGUUACUCGCAGAAUAAGCACCGGCUAACUCUGUGCCAGCAGCCGCGGUAAUACAGAGGGUGCAAGCGUUAAUCGGAUUUACUGGGCGUAAAGCGUGCGUAGGUGGCCAAUUAAGUCAAAUGUGAAAUCCCCGAGCUUAACUUGGGAAUUGCAUUCGAUACUGGUUGGCUAGAGUAUGGGAGAGGAUGGUAGAAUUCCAGGUGUAGCGGUGAAAUGCGUAGAGAUCUGGAGGAAUACCGAUGGCGAAGGCAGCCAUCUGGCCUAAUACUGACACUGAGGUACGAAAGCAUGGGGAGCAAACAGGAUUAGAAACCCCUGUAGUCC